UAUGUCUACCUUAUAUUUUAAAAAUUGUGCGGCCUGUGGCGCAAAACUGCCCGACUCCGAUGGACACAAUAAGUGUCUUAUAUGCCUGGGGGAGGGCCAUGUGCCUCAGACGUGCCAAAUUUGCCAAAAUUUUACCCCCCAGGCACGCCGCAACAGGGAAGCCCGCCUUAAGGCCGCUCUAUACGAACAGGCUCUGGCGCCAGAAGCGGCGCGCGCUUCCAAACGGCCAUGCCCUGAAACACUCUCCCACCCUUCCUCUACAGAAGAGCAAGAUCCCCCUCCCCCCGCUGAAGAGGGAUUGGCAGGCCCACUCGAGCCGCCGACCGAGGCGCCGAGGAAAAAAGCCAAAGCCGCCAAACCACAGAAGGGGCUCAAACCCAAGGAUGGCUUCAAAAAAUAUAAAAAAGGGAGGCAACUCAUUGGCGAGAAGCCCCUGAGUCCCCCUCCACAAGCCUCACCUGAACGCGAUUCUUCUCGGGACCGAGAUUCCCCGAUCCCGCCCAUGGAGGAAGCUCCGCCCCAUCUAUCCCCUGUGGAGCCCUCCCAGGCCCCGGGGGCAGCGGUGACGAGCGUGAGCGUACACGCCAACCCUCAGAAUGCCAGCUCUUCCCCGCCGCAAACUUUGUGCUAUCCCCCGCCCCGCCCAACAGCGGAGGCAGGGAGCAGCGCCAUGGAGCGCCGAGGCCGGAGCACCGAGCGACGGCAGCAGACCGCACACGGAAGGCGUCGGUACCGUGAGCGUUCCCCCUCUUCUGAAUCCUGGGGCUCGCGUUCGAGGAGCCCUUCCAGGGCCUCCUUUUACCCACGAUCUCUGUCUCCUGGCCAUAGCUCGCUCUAUCGUUACCCCAAUUUCUUUUAUCCCCCCCCCCUCCAUUCCCUGCUUACCCUCCUUACCAUUAUUUUGACUUCCAUCGAAACCGAGGGGAACUGCCUCUUCCACUACAAGGGCAAACUCCCGAUGCCCCUCCCAUUUCAGCCACUCAAGCCAAAGCUGUUCAACAGCCCCCAGCAGCGAUCCCAGAGACCGCAAUUUCCUCUCAGGUAGCCAAAACCCAGCCAGCAUUCCUGGAUAGUGAACAAGCUCAGAGCCAACCGGCUCCAUCUCCAGAGGGAAUACAUGCGGGAGAUAUAGAUCCAUCUGUGGAAGAUGAUGGACCCUCGUCUACACCUCUAACGGAAACGGAGCAAGAUCCUCUCCGUACUGAGGAAUUUCGUAACUUUGCUGCCCUUCUCAUAAGACUCUCAAGAGCUCUUAACUUAGAAACACCGAAACCCACCAAUGUUGUGAAGGACCCGUGUUUCUCUUCUUCGGAGCAACAAUCACCAACGCCUACGGCACUACCAACCCUGCCCUAUUUGCUCCAGAUUAUCAAAACAGUUGGCGUUGCACCAUCCCUGGUUCCAGCUACCCCAAAAAGAGCUGAGAAUCUUUACAAGUUGGACCUGUCGGCAACCUCCUGGCUUGCCAAGAUGCCCAACGCUAACUCUGUCGUAAAGGACGCGCAACCUAAACCGGCCCAGAAAGCCCAGCUUACCCCUUCGGACAGGGAAGGCAAAAAAUUGGACACUAUGGCAAGGAAAUUUUAUUCUUCCACUUGCCUUUUCGCCAGGAUGGCUCACUUUAGAGUAUAUAUGAGCGUAUACCAGACCUAUCUUUGGAACAAAAUUGGUCCCUUCCUUGAAUCUCGUAUCUCCCAAUGAGCAAAUCUUAGCCAAGGCGUUUAAACAAGAAGCCACGCUCCUCGCGAGUCUUCACAAGGAGCUAGCAAAAAACACCGCCGAUGCAUCUGGCAAACUUCUAGCAGGAGCAGUCGCCCUACGUAGACACGCUUGGUUGAGGGCUGCUACACUGUCCCCAUCCGCUCGUUCCCUCAUCGAGGAUCUUCCCAUGGACGAGGCCGGAUUAUUUAACCCUGAAACUGACUCACAAUUGCAACAUUCCCACAAAAUGAAGCAGACCAUCAAUAAAUAUGGUCAACAUCCUCACCAACCUUAUUCUUACCAUCAGCGUCAGCGUUGGGGAUAUCAAUCCCAAUACUACCGGGGACGUUACAGCCCCUCAUUCUCUCGGGGAAGGCAGCGCCAGCAGCCCACCUUCACGGGGAACCGUAAGCCGUCUUUCCCUUCCAGAGGUCAAUACAAGGGGCCCAAGCCAGUGGACAAUAGGAGACGGCGCUUUUAGCCCGACAUCUCCAUUGCCCGCGUCGUUGUUUCCAGUUCAUUCUGAAGCCCGGUUGGCUUCUAGUUCCCUAGUUGUUCAACACCCCUCCUCUCCAGAAGUUCCCCGUUUAUACCUUAACAGGCUCGUUCCAUACUUGAAUGAGUGGCGGCGAAUCACAUCGGAUUCAUGGGUUUUGAGUAUUGUGGAGGAAGGUUACUCUAUUGAGUUUCUUUCCCUUCCACCAGUGGGACACGUUUGUGCCACCACCCCAUCAGAUGUACUCCUCGAGGAAAUAUCUGUCCUGAUUGACAAAAGAGCCAUCUCUUCUAUCCCGCCCAGUAAGAUCCACCUUGCCUAUUUUUCUCGUUAUUUCCUGGUUACCAAACGAGGAGGGGGUCUCCGCCCAAUACUGGACCUGCGCGGCAUUAACCGUUUCAUCAAACCGCGCAAGUUUCGGAUGGUGUCGCUUCCCACAAUUCUCCCUUUCAUUAGGAAAGGAGCCUGGUUAGCCUCAGUGGACCUCAAAGAUGCUUAUUUCCACAUCUUUGUUAAAGAGGACCACCGUAGAUACCUUAGUUUUGCAGUAGAUGACCGUUUCUUCUCCUACAAUGUUUUACCCUUCGGCCUCUCCACAGCCCCAAGGGUUUUCACUAAAUGCAUGUCAGUAGUGGCAGCAUACUUACGUCAGCAUCACGUAAUGGUCUUUCCAUAUUUAGACGAUUGGCUUUUAUCUUCAAAUUCUAGAGACCAACUAAAAUCUGACAUUCGUUUCACCCUAUCUCUCUUACAGACUCUAGGUCUCAUUGUCAACCAAGAGAAAUCCCACCUCCUACCCACUCAACGCAUCAAUUUUAUCGGUGCCAUUAUAGAUUCCAACGCUCAAAGGGCUUUUUUACCACAAGAAAGAUUCCUAAACCUGAAGACUAUGAUUACAGAGCUAUGCCGCUAUGGCCGGGGCACUGCGUGGUCAAUCCAGUCCAUCUUAGGCCAUAUGGCGUCCACCACAAACGUCACCGCGUUCGCGCGACUGCGCCUAAGGCCCCUCCAAAAUUGGUUUGUACGGAAAUUCAACCCGCUCCUCCACCGUCAAGAUCGCAUUCUGUCCCCUCCACAAGCAAUCCUGAGAUCUCUCGCAUGGUGGACAAAGGAACACAAUGUUUGCUCGGGCCUCCCGUUCAACUCUCCUCAACCGUCUGUAUCACUGACAACGGAUGCAUCCUCCCAAGGCUGGGGCGCUCACCUCCAGGACCUGACCACACACGGCCAUUGGUCGACCAUAGAGCUCAGUCUUCACAUCAACGCACUCGAGCUCCUGGCGGUGGAGAAAGCCCUCAAAUCCUUCUCCCCCCUUGUCAAGAACAGGGUCGUCCAACUGAUCACGGACAACACUACAGUAAAAUUCUACGUCAACAAACAGGGAGGGACUCAUUCACAGACUCUCCUCUCCAUUGUGUCCCGAAUUUGGGAAUGGUGCAUUCAGAGACAUGUCUUCCUGAUGGCAAUUCACCUACCAGGGGUGGACAAUGUGUUGGCAGACUCCCUGAGCAGAACAACCCUAAACAACCACGAGUGGCACCUCCAUCGCAGGGAAUUCAAAUUCAUUACUCGCCGGUGGGGGACUCCCACGAUAGAUCUCUUCGCCUCACCAGCGAAUACACAGUGUCCUCGGUUCUGCGCACGUAUGCGCCCUCACGCAUCCCCAGGAUGCUUAGGAGACGCUUUCCUCUUCUCAUGGAUACCAGAUCUCCUGUAUGCAUUCCCACCACUUCCACUCCUAGCCAGAGUUGUGGCCAAGAUUGUUUCGGACAACUCCAACUGUAUUCUGAUCGCUCCCUGGUGGCCACGCCAACCAUGGUUCGCAACACUCCUGGAGACAUCACGGGGCGAUUACAUUCAUCUGAGAAACAGUCCAAACCUCCUCACGAUCCACGACGGCCUGGUCAGACACCCGGACGUACCAUCCUUCUGGUUAACGGCAUGGAGGAUAAGACCACAGCUCACCUCUCCGACGCCGUCCGUGCUAUAGUCCUUGCAGCUCAAAAAACGUCUACUAAAAGAUCAUAUACUUACAAGUGGUCUCGUUUCAAACAUUUUAUUUCCCCCUCUGGAAAUAACCCCUUCACAGUUCCAGUUUCGACGAUACUUGACUUUUUCGUUCAUCUCUCUUCCAAACAGAUGUCACUCUCAUCUAUCAAAUGUUAUGCAGCGGCCCUAUCCUGGUUCAGGAGAAAGGCAGGACAACUGUCACUUUUUCAGGACCCUCUGCUCCGUCUAUUCCUAAAAGGUUACAAAAAUACUUACCCACCCAGUUCCCUGCCUCCCCCAUCAUGGAGCCUAGAAUUAGUUUUGUCACAGUUAUCAAAACCCCCCUUCGAACCCAUGUCGUCCAUCGACCUGGCCCAUCUUUCAUGGAAAACUGCAUUCCUGGUGGCAAUCACCUCCGCCAGACGAGCAAGCGAAAUUACAGCCCUCCGGGUCGAUGCCCCUUACAUCAGAUUCUCGGAUGAUAAAGUGACCCUCCAAACAGACAUCUCCUUCUUACCCAAAGUAGUGUCUCGUUUCCACAUGUGCCAAGAUAUUGUUCUUCCCGCACUUUUUCCAAAUCCGUCCACUCCUCUGGAAAUGUCUCUCCAUUGCUUAGAUGUCAAGAGGGCACUGCUUUUUUACAUCAAGAGGACUGCCGCCCACAGGAAGUCACCCAGACUUUUUCUUAAAUAUACAAACGACGCCUUAGGCUUACCUGUAUCCUCACAACGUCUAGCUGUCUGGAUCACAUCUACCAUUCACUUAGCCUACCAACUAGCGGGUAAAGACCCCCCAUCCCAUGUGGCGGCGCACUCCACCAGAUCCCUUUCAACCUCUCAAGCCUUUCUUCGGGGUGUCUCAUUGGAAGAUAUCUGCAAAGCAGCCACCUGGUCGUCCCCAUCGACCUUUGUAUCCCACUACAAGCUGGACAUCCAAGCUAAACGUGAUGCAGCCUUCGGCAGAGCGGUGCUGUUUUCCUGCGUGGCAUGACCCACCUCCAGGUUGGUAGCUUGUUAGUCACCAUAUGUGUGCAUUUCACAGACAACACGUAAGAAGAAGUAUAGGUUGCUUACCUGUAACCGUAUUUCUUCGAGUGUUGAUCUGUGAAAUUCGCACAGCCCCGCCCAGCCUCCCCGCUGAUGUCAUGCCUCGUUUUUCUCAGCUGCUGUCGGCGGCGGAGAACUGAGGCGUAGCCCCGCCUAUAGGCAUAUUUAUACUAUGGGGAGAUUGGGCGGGGCCUCCGCCAAAAAAAAAAGUUUCAUCUAAAGCUUCUAGAAGGUUCCGAAAUCUGCGCAGGCGCAUUGGGGUAAACCAUAUGUGCGAAUUUCACAGAUCAACACUCGAAGAAAUACGAUUACAGGUAAGCAACCUAUACUUCUCACUACUUCAUUUAAUACAUUUAUAUCCCACCUCACCAAUGGACUUUUUAGAUGGAUUUAAUCUAUAAACCAUGAACAGUUUAAAGUUUCUGUGUGAUAAGACGUGACAGAUGACAGUUCUUAACACAUAUAUAUGGCCAUGUAUAAAUAUGUGAGGGGAAGUCACAGGGAGGAAGGAGCAGGCUUGUUUUCUGCUGCCCCGGAGACUAGGAUGUGGAACAUUGGCUUCAAAUUACAGGAAAGGAGAUUCCACAUGAACAUUAGAAAGAACUUCCUAAAUGUAAGAGCUGUUCAGCAGUGGAACUCUCUGCCCCAGAGUGUGGUGGAGGCUCCUUCUUUGGAGGCUUUUAAACAGUGGCUGGAUGGCCAUCUGUUGGGAGUGCUUUGAAUGCAAUUUUCCUGCUUCUUGGCAGGGGGUUGGACUGGAUGGCCCACAAGAUCUCUUCCAACUCUAUAAUUCCAUGACUAACUGUUGGUCCCUGAUACAUGCUGAACAAUGCAAUACUACUUGGUCACCCCUGUAUCGGCAUCACUUUUUCUCUUCUGUGGUGGCAUCAUUUGAAAAUUAAAUAUUUUUGCAAUUGAGUUAUGAACAUUAAGGGUUUUUUUGCGCGCAUGUCAGAAAAAGUCAUAGAUGCAUAUUGAAAAAAAAGGUAAUCCUUCUGCUGUGGAAAAUCAGGUGAAUUCAUUGUUAGAAACAACAAGCAGUUUCCAUCUUCUUUGAGCAGUCAAUUCUGAAUGUUUCAUUUUAAAAUUGACAAAAAAAAAUCUACGGUUAACUAAGUUUUGGUAAUUGUUGAAUUCCAAUGCGCUUUUUGAAACCUUUAGAUAAGCUUACUUCAGAAAAAUGGGUUUUUGAAACUGCUAACACUAAUUUAAUGUAGUAAGUUGCAGAUCUUGUUCUAAUUACAGAGAAGUAGCAUUAUUUAUUUGUACUGGCUCAGAGUGAUGGCCGCUAAGUAGUGGUUAGAGAACAUGAAUAUAGGGUAUCCAGAAGGAUUAAAUGCCUCUUGUGGUGAGGAACGUACAAAAUACCCACUUUACAUACUCUGAUUGGACUUUUGGAGAAAAUUACUAGCAGGGGCUAAACAUUUUCAAAUGAAUCAAGGAUCUUCUGUACUAUAUGAGUUAACCAUCUAGUAUCUUGAACUAAAGGACUAACGUUCUAGCAUAGUAGUACUGACUAAAUUAAAUUCAACUUCCUUUAUUUUCAGUAGAGAAAAACAAUAAUGUAUUACUGCAUUUGAAGCAAUGGGAAUUAUGUGCCUUAUAUUGCCCUGAAAAUUAGCUAUUAAAUAAACCCUUUACUAGGUGUUCUUAAAAAAACAUCUAUCAAAUCUCAUUUCUUGGCUCAGUUGGAGUGUCCAAAUUAUAAUGUGGUUUUAUUAUAGACUGUUGUUGUUGUUGUUGUUUACCAUAUUGGAUAAUACCUUGGUUGUCUAACAUGUCAUAUUGACCAGAACAAAUAUAUCAAAGUGUCACUUGCAGUCACACAGUAGGAGCUUAAUGGUUGGCUUGGUUAUGAUUGUGAACUAUUCUAGUUGCACAUAAAAGGUGCUCACAUGUAUCAAACCAUGGCAACCAAGUGAGCAGUGGCAACAGCUCUCUCCCUGUACUCUCAAGAAAUCUGUUCACAAGGCCAUAUACUGAAUAGGUUUACCUUGUGCCAAAUCAGUCAGGAACAAGUUAUGUCUGAGUUCCAUUGAAAGCAUUAAAAUGCUCUGUUCCCACUGGGUUUAUUGGGAUUAAAAUAUGUCUCACUUCCCUGAAAUAUAAUCCUUAUGGUUUGCUUGUUUCUAAGUAUAUGGAGACCAAGACCAGUCAACCUUAAAGUGCAUCUGGUGCGAGUGUUGUAGCCAUUGACAACAAAAUAGAACAGGCAAUGG